CUCGUUGCCAUGAGAGAUUUACCACUAGUAGCCCUGUACUUCCAUGCUCCUGGCUCUGUUUCGGAGAAAGCGCUCAAGAUUUAAAAAAGAAUAGCAACAAAAAAAUAAGAUGCAGCUCACUGACAUUGCCAUAGCUGCCUGAGGCCUGCUUCAGGAUCACAUACAUGGGUUUCUCUUAUUCUCAGAGUGUGUCGGAGGGAUUCGCCUUUGAGCCGCUUGGUAAGCAAAAUCAAGCUCUUCAUUGUCUUUAAAAUUCAGACCAUGGUAUGAACACUCUGGCUUGUUGUCAAAUACUUUGAAGCUGCUAGAGAGAUGAUCACGGUGUGCAAGAAACACUGCAAAAUCAGAAACCUCAUUGAUUCGAGGUGCUGGCGUAUUUGUCGAACAGGGGUUUCUCACAUGAGAAGAAAAUUGGGUUUGCAUCGUUUAACCCUCUGGAGUCUGAAUUGCCGCCGGCGCCCAA